GCCCGUUAGCUCAGUUGGUAGAGCAGUUGACUUUUAAUCAAUUGGUCGCAGGUUCGAAUCCUGCACGACCCACCA
rnacentral:tRNA from 1 species